GAUGAACGCUGGCGGCGUGCUUAACACAUGCAAGUCGAACGGAAAGACCAGGCUUUUGUGGGGUGCUCGAGUGGCGAGCGCGUGAGUAAGACACGAGUAUCCUGCCCUUGACAUAGGGGUAACUUCAGGAAACUGAGGCGAAUACAGGAUAGGAACUCCUGCAGCAUGGGGGGGGGUGGAAAGUUUCGGCGGUUGGGGAAGGACUGGCGGCUUAUCCGCUUGUUGGUGGGGUAGUGGAUGCCCAAGGCUGUGACGGGUAGCCGGCCCCAGAGGGGGACCGGCCACCUGGCGACUGCGAUACGGCCCAGACUCGUACGGGAGGCAGCAGUGGGGAAUAUUGCACAAAGGGCCCAAGUCUGAUGCAGCAACGCUGCGUGCGGGAUGAUGUCCUUCUGGUUGAAAACAGCUUUCGCAGGUGCCGAAGCCUGAGUGACGGUACCGGAUAAAGAAGCACCGGCUAACUACGUG
rnacentral:rRNA from 1 species